GGGGACGUAGCUCAGCUGGGAGAGCGCAACGCUGGCAGCGUUGAGGUCGGGGUUCCCCCCCCCUCGUCUCCACCA
rnacentral:tRNA from 1 species